UCCUACGGGGGGCAGCAGUGGGGAAUAUUGGUCAAUGGGCGCGAGCCUGAACCAGCCAAGUCGCGUGAGGGAGGACGGCCCUACGGGUUGUAAACCUCUUUUGCCGGGGAGCAACGGGCGUCACGUGUGGCGCCACUGAGAGUACCCGGAGAAAAAGCAUCGGCUAACUCCGUGCCAGCAGCCGCGGUAAUACGUAGGGGGCAAGCGUUAUCCGGAUUUACUGGGUGUAAAGGGAGCGUAGGCGGUUUAGCAAGUCAGAAGGAAAAGCCCGGGGCUCAACUCCGGGACUGCUU
rnacentral:rRNA from 1 species